rnacentral:rRNA from 1 species
AGCAGCCGCGGUAAUUCCAGCUCCAAUAGCGUAUAUUAAAGUUGUUGCAGUUAUAAAGCUCGUAGUUGAAUUUCGGGGUCAGUAGAUUGGUCAUGCCACUGGUAUGUACUGGUCUCACUGAUUCCUCCUUCCUGAUGAGCCGUAAUGCCAUUAAUUUGGUGUUGCGAGGAAUCUGGACUGUUACUUUGAAAAAAUUAGAGUGUUUAAAGCAGGCUAACGCUUGAAUACAUUAGCAUGGAAUAAUGAAAUAGGACGUUCGAUCUUAUUUUGUUGGUUUCUAAGAUUGACGUAAUGAUUAAUAGGGAUAGUUGGGGGCAUUAGUAUUCAAUUGUCAGAGGUGAAAUUCUUGGAUUUAUUGAAGACUAACUACUGCGAAAGCAUUUGCCAAGGAUGUUUUCAUUAAAUCAAGAACGAAAGUUAGGGGAUCGAAGACGGAUCAGACUACCGUCGUAGUCUUAACCAAUAAACUAUGCCGUACGUAGGGAGUACGGUAGUAGAGUUAGUUUUAAUUUUUUAAAGU